UGACAUGAAAGGUUGCCAGACCUUUAAAAUGGCUUGGCUGAGGCGGCACAAAUUGUGUCACAAGUAGAUGUCUCGAAGAUGUUAAGGAUCGGGUGUUUCUUAAAAAGGUCACUAUUGUUAGGCUCAUGCAGUUAGCUUAGGCAUUUU